rnacentral:rRNA from 1 species
GGGCCCGCACAAGCGGUGGAGCAUGUGGUUUAAUUCGAUGAUACGCGGACGUACCUGACAGGCUUAAAUGUAGUAUGACCGGUCUAGAAAUAGACCUUCUCUUCGGAGCAGAUUACAAGGUGCUGCAUGGUUGUCGUCAGCUCGUGCCGUGAGGUGUUAGGUUAAGUCCUGCAACGAGCGCAACCCCUAUUCUUAGUUGCCAGCGGUUCGGCCGGGGACUCUAAGAAGACUGCCAGCGCAAGCUGAGAGGAAGGUGGGGAUGACGUCAAAUCAUCACGGCCCUUACGUCCUGGGCUACACACGUGCUACAAUGGUACAGACAGAGGGCAGCCACCUGGCGACAGGGAGCG